CCGGGCCCGGCCGUCCAUCCCCGUCCUCCACCAUCCGGCUGACCCCUCCGCGGGGAUGGGCAGCCUGUGGAAGGGCUCGCUUCGCCCCGUCACACAGUAUUCUUCUAGAAUGGAGUGUGGCGUCAUCUGUUAGCAAAAAAAACUUCCAGCCAACGGCCUAUGGUCUUCGAUGUACUAUUCCGUCUGGUGGGAACGGGCCGCGCUAGACGCGUCCUUCGCCUCGAUUAAUUUGUCUUUUAGUUUCCCGUUCGCUAUAUUAUUACGAUCGAAGAACGUUAGCGUAGAUGAGCGACGAGAGAUCAGUGCCUCCGUCUCUUCCGUCCCGGUAACCCAGUCAUUAAUAGUUAGAUUCGAUCUACCCGCUACCCAUCUUACCGCCAGAGAUUUAAUUUCUUUACCACCGAGGAUACGUUAGCCGCCUGGUCCGUUACCGUGGCAGAAACUCCUCCCUCAAAUUCCACCUAUCUAUCGUCCCCGAUGUAUGCGCGGCUACAUUUUCAUCCGUGCCACUUCCUCCGAGUGGCCGUAUAUCCAGGAGUGGCCGGAUAGAUAAUGCGCGGUUAGUACUGUAUAGUUAUCUGGUUUGUUCCAUGUUCGACUAUCCGUGGUCGGAGCCGAGAGGUUGGUAAAGGUGGUCUAGAAGUACCCGAAAGAGAAUAAAAAAAUAGAAACGUAUACCACGAAAUUAAUUUUAAGCUAGGUAACGUUAACCGUAGGAAAAUAGACACCGUUAAGGUUGGUUCUCACUAGCGCGGUAGCGGUAUUUUACAGCAAUAUUUUUCCUCCGCC
rnacentral:lncRNA from 1 species